AGAGUUUGAUCCUGGCUCAGAUUGAACGCUGGCGGCAUGCCUUACACAUGCAAGUCGAACGGCAGCGCGGGGGCAACCCUGGCGGCGAGUGGCGAACGGGUGAGUAAUACAUCGGAACGUGUCCUGGAGCGGGGGAUAGCUCGGCGAAAGCCGGAUUAAUACCGCAUACGCUCUGUGGAGGAAAGCGGGGGAUCUUCGGACCUCGCGCUCAAGGGGCGGCCGAUGGCGGAUUAGCUAGUUGGUGGGGUAAAGGCCUACCAAGGCGACGAUCCGUAGCUGGUCUGAGAGGACGACCAGCCACACUGGGACUGAGACACGGCCCAGACUCCUACGGGAGGCAGCAGUGGGGAAUUUUGGACAAUGGGGGAAACCCUGAUCCAGCAAUGCCGCGUGUGUGAAGAAGGCCUUCGGGUUGUAAAGCACUUUUGUUCGGGAAGAAAUCCUUCGGGCUAAUACCUUGAGGGGAUGACGGUACCGGAAGAAUAAGCACCGGCUAACUACGUGCCAGCAGCCGCGGUAAUACGUAGGGUGCGAGCGUUAAUCGGAAUUACUGGGCGUAAAGCGUGCGCAGGCGGUUCGCUAAGACCGAUGUGAAAUCCCCGGGCUUAACCUGGGAACUGCAUUGGUGACUGGCGGGCUAGAGUAUGGCAGAGGGGGGUAGAAUUCCACGUGUAGCAGUGAAAUGCGUAGAGAUGUGGAGGAAUACCGAUGGCGAAGGCAGCCCCCUGGGCCAAUACUGACGCUCAUGCACGAAAGCGUGGGGAGCAAACAGGAUUAGAUACCCUAGUAGUCC
rnacentral:rRNA from 1 species